GAAACAUUAGUUGCGUAUCUUCUCAUGAUCGGCUGAAACCUCUAUGGCUCAAACAAUAAUAAUGAUAUAGCAAUAAAUUUAAAUUAUGUCAAAUAAAAGUGAAAUAAAAUUCUUACCUCACAUAGAUAGCGUAAUAUUUAUUAAUAGCGAGAAACUUCAUCACAAAUACGAAACUGUGUAAACGUGCGGCGUAGUUCGGCAGCCAUAUUAACAGCAAGCUAUUCGAGCGAGACAUGGAGCGAGGCGUGCGCAGCUGAAAAGAUUUUUCUAGAGGAACCUGUGGUGUCAUUGCCUGUGUAACCUCAUUUAAGUAGUAUUAGUGUUGGACAUUUUCACCUUUGGAAGACGGCAUGAUUACAGGCCAACGGAUGACACCUGUUUUAACACCGACUACGCGGCUUUGUGGACCCAUCGUGUUUGGAUUGACGUGCGCACUUUUCCCUGCUCUUGAUUCUGCCAUUUGGAGAUGGUGAUGUGCAAGAGUUACGAAAUGUGUAAACGUGUGCAAGGUCAUCAAGGGAGCAUUCAAGAUGUUUCAUCGCUAAACACAAGCUCAAGUGUCCCAAUAAAUGUCCAAUUUCAACACCAA